UUUUUACUCACUAUCAACACGAAAGUUAUUCCAUUUUCAAUGCAGAAUCCGUUCAGGGAAUUAAUUUUUCAUUUAGUGGACUUAAUUUCCCGAACCGUCCCGGUGCACCGAAUGUCGCCCAUCGGCAUUCGUCUCCUGAUCUCUCUCCACAAGCCAAACCGGAAUGAUCUGAGCGCGUCACUUUGAGCCCCUCCUCUUCCUCUCUCACUUUCGUUCUCAACUUUUCUCCAGAAAAGGUCCGUACAGAUCAUACGAACCAUGCCAAGAUCAGCCCCAACAUCGAGUUCAUCGUCAGAUGUUGUCACCGUCGGUGAUCAUCUCGUCAAAUCCUUUCACCAGAAGACGUUCCUCGUCGAGGGAUACCUCUAGGACAUGAAGGUGCAUCAAAUUGUCAUUGUUGGCCGCGACGCCUUCGAAAUUCAUCGGAUCGGACAUGGUUGUGCACCUUGUUGUCACUGUUUGUCGCGUCGCCGUUGUUCCGCCGGCCACGGUGACGACGCCGUCGUUUUCGUCGAAUAACAAGGGACUCAGGCCUGGUUAUUUCGUAUUCCUUUUUCUCUAGACCAUGUGAAUCUCAUGAUGCCUUCUUUUCUGUCCAUUCACAGCCCAUGGUUUUUGAGCGACGAGGGCCGACGCAAUUUCUGUGCAGUCCAAAAGAUUACGCCGCGCACGACUAUGUCCACUCCAUCCGACUCGCCUGCGGACACGAUCCACGACAGGACAUACGGAGAAAUCCUCAUCUUCAAGCAGGACAUCUACCCCUUUCAGGAGCUCUGCAAACACCGGGCGAUACUCGAUUUCCCGAGCCGCAGUGUGGUCGCACGAAGCAGUUCCAAUGAUCUAUUUAUCUUGGUAUAGGUGAGCGCUGCUGCUUGCAUCUUCUUAACGACACUGUCUAGAUUCCAAAACUGAAGUGUAUUAUUCAGAUUAUAUUACACAUAUCCUUCUUGGUUAUUAGAUCCAGUUUGAAGUUA